rnacentral:lncRNA from 1 species
AUCUGUAUAUGCGAUAAUAGGAAGUCAGGGAACUUUCUCUGCCCGUCCCUACUCCCCUCACUCCCCCACUUUCUGUUAUGAAAGAUAGUUGUACUUUUAUCAUUAACUGCUACGCAUUUAGUGAGGGUCACAUUAUUAAACCUGGUGGGGUUCACCAUUUUCCCACAGGAGGUUUUGCUGGCAUUCCUUGGAACUCCCAAUUUCAGUAGGGCAGUGAAUGAAUGAAUACUUUGCAGUACUACUUUUGGAAGGAGUUUCUGCUUUUUGCCUUAUAAUCGGACAAAAUGCAGCUGUAAAAUUUUAAAUUGUUUUUGAUGUGUUAUUCAAUAUCCCAUGAAAGUAUUCACCUAAAGUGGAGUUAUGAAAUGGGUGGUGAUAUAAUAAGACCAUUCUGGAGCAGAGCCAGUUUCUUUUUUUCCUGUUGUGAGAUGACAUGGCUCUGACAAACAUGUUAUUGUGGGUUACCUGACCCAGGCAAGUCCUUUUUUUUUUUUUUUUAAUCACCGUAUUAGUACUCUUAGCAGCAAUCCUUUUGCAACCGAUCUCUAAAGCGAAAUAGAAUUCUAAAUAUUAGCUCACUUAUUUUAAAUAAGGCAUGCAAUAGAAUUCUAGUGCCAGAAGAGGAUUUGGGUCAUCUCAUAGAGCUUAUUCCUGUGGCUUUUGUUUUUGACAGUCUCACUCUGUCAGCCAGGCUGGAGUGCAGUGGUACAAUCUCAGCUCACUGCAACCUCUGCCUCCUGGGUUCAAGAGAUUGUCCUGCCUCAGCCUCCUGAGUAGUUGGAAUUAACAGGUGCACGCCACCAGUCCUAGCUAGUUUUUGUAUUUUUACUGGGGGUGGGGUUUUGCCAUGUAGGCCAGACUGGUCUCAAAACUCCUGACCUCAGGUGAUCUGCCUGCCUCAGCCUCCCAAAGUGUUGGGAUUACAGACUUGAGCCACCAUCCCUGGCCCUCCUGUGGCACUUAAAGUUUUUUCUCUCAUUUGGGAAAAUUGAUUUUCCCAGAGCUGAGGAGAGGAUCAAGUAAGUAGAGCUUAUAGCGCUUAGUCUCUCCUUGCUUUCCCUAGAGUAGUUCCACUCUGCACUUUAUGUAUUUUCCGUACUGAUAAGUUGUUUCAGUACAGGGAGAGAUUUGCUGCUUUUAAGUUUGAAAAAAACUGCCAUUAUAAAUGACCAUGUCUCUUACUUGAGGUUUAUUUAGAUCAUAGUCAAAGGUUCCCAAGUAUAAUGGAAUCAGGUCAUCUGGGAUUCUAAGCCAUACUUAGUUUUACAUAAGAAAAAAGGACAUAGAACCUUUUAAGUUUUACUCUGAUUAUGUUUUAUGUCAGAGCUUCUCAUUUUAUUUAAUGGUCAUUUAGUCUAGCUUUCCUUAAAGAUACGUAGAUUUAAAAGCCUCUCUAGAGAUAAGGAAACCAAGUUUAAAAGAGAGAUGCAGUGACUCAUGCCUGUGUAAACCCAACACUUUGAAAGGCCAGGGCAGGAGGAUCAUUUGAAGCCAGAAGUUUGAGACCAGCCUGGACGACAUAGCAAGACCCCAUCUCCACAAGCCAAAAUUGAAGGAUUAGCCAGGUGCGGUGGCGUGUGCCUCUAGUCCCAGCUACUCAGGAGGCCAAGGCGGCAGGAUCACUUGAGCCCCGGAGUUAGAGCUACACUGCACUCCAGCCUGGACGACAGAGCAAGACCCUGUCUCUUAAAAAAAAAAAAAAAGGUUAAGUUCCCAGAGUCAUACCACAUAAAUAAUGAACCAGCUCUUCUGUUAUCAAGGCUUCGAGUUUAUCCACUAGGUUGUAUUUUUUUGUUCAGGCAUCUAGUACUGCAGUUCUCCUUACAAAACUAUAUCUGGACAAUCAAAUAUAUCUAAAUUGAAUGUUAUGUAGCAGAGCUCACACAUGUAGUGAGUUUCAUUGGAUAUUCAGUUAAAAAAAAGAAAAAA